rnacentral:pre_miRNA from 1 species
AUUGUACUCCCUCCGUCUGAAAAUAUUUGCUGGUGAAAUGGAUGUAUCUAGAUGUAUUUUAGUUCUAAAUAGAUAUAUUCAUUUUUAUCUAUUUCUCUGACAAGUAUUUUCAGUUAGAGGGAGUAAGUG